CACCGCGGUUAUACGAGAGGCCCAAGUUGAUUAUUUUCGGCGUAAAGGGUGGUUAGGGGAGAGUGAGUACUAAAGCCGAAUUUUUCCACCGCUGUUAUACGCUACCGGAAACUAGAAGUUCAACCACGAAAGUGGCUUUAUUUUACCCUGAAUCCACGAAAGCUAGGGAA
rnacentral:rRNA from 1 species